AUUGAACGCUGGCGGCAGGCCUAACACAUGCAAGUCGAACGAGUGGCGGACGGGUGAGUAAUGUCUGGGAAACUGCCCGACGGAGGGGGAUAACUACUGGAAACGGUAGCUAAUACCGCAUACCAUCGGAUGUGCCCAGAUGGGAUUAGCUAGUAGGUGGGGUAACGGCUCACCUAGGCGACGAACCCUAGCUGGUCUGAGAGGCUGACCGGCCACACUGGGACUAGGAGACGGUCCAGACGCCUACGGGAGGCAACAGUGGGGAAUAUUGCACAAUGGGCGCAAGCCUGAUGCAGCCAUGCCGCGUGUAUGAAGAAGGCCUUCGGGUUGUAAAGCACUUUCAGCGGGUAGGCGUUACUCGCAGAGGAAGCACCGGCUAACUCCGUGCCAGCAGCCGCGGUAAUUC
rnacentral:rRNA from 1 species